CUGUAAAUAUAUACCGUAAACUUUGCAUUUCAUUUUUUUAAUCACUUCUCAUCUCUGUUCUCUUUCUUUCUCUGUCUCUCACGUUCCCAAUCCAGGAAAAAUUGAUCUCUCUCUCACAUACCACGGCCGGUCUCACUUCAAGGUCCGUCCUGCCGUCACUCGCCACCACCAUCGCAGCUGUGAUUUUUUCUUCUCGCGAUAUCAGUCUCUCUCUCUCACCGAUUUCCCUCUUUCUCAUGGUGUAGUCUCAAAUCGCAUGUUUUGGGUAAAGAUUUGUUGGCUUUUGGGUUUGCUAGAAAGGCAGAAGUUGGGUUUUGAUAUUUGAGAAGCUAAAAAAUGCAGAAGCUGAAAUUUUUGUUGGGUUUUGAUAUUUGAGAAGCUGGGUUUUGGGGGUUUUGUUGAGAGAUUGGAGUGGAAGAAAGUUGAUUUGAAAGAAAAUGUCCAUGGCAGUGGGUAUCUGUUUUGGGUUAGAUUUGGGUAUAGGUAUUUGAUAUUUGAGAAGUUUGUGGGGUUUUUUUGGUUUUGCUUUGACUGGGUUUUUUCCUGCCUAUUUGGCUUCAAACUUGCUGUAAAUUUCAGUUGAUGGGGGCGGUAUGUUUGCAGUUUUGGGUUGUGGUCUUUGGCAAGGAAGAGAGAGAGACAUGAUUUAAGCUAAUAAUAAAAAAAAUUGAAAAAAAUAGUAUUUUAAUGAAAUGUAGCGUAAAAUAGACGGAAAAUUUUGCACGAACGGGUGCGAUUACUUACUUUCUCUCUACCCAAACACAAAUUAAGUAAAAAUGUCUUCUCCAUCUCCAUGUUCUUCUUCUGGGUCUUCUCAAAGGUACCGCAUAGGCUACGCUCUUUCAGCCAAAAAAGUUCAAAGCUUCAUCCAAAACUCUUUAGUCAACCAAGCCAAACAACGCGGCAUCGAUCUCAUCAAAAUCGACUCCACAAAACCCUUAACCCAACAGGGACCGUUCGAUUGCGUCAUCCACAAACUCUACAGCAGCCCCGAUUGGAAAGACCAAUUGCGGCAACUCUCUCUCCAUCAGCCAAACGUCGUCGUAAUCGACUCUCCGGAAUCCAUCGAGCGUCUCCACGAUCGAACCUCCAUGCUCGAUGUGGUUACCAGCUUGAAAAUCCCUCAAGGGAGCCAAACGUUUGAGGUUCCAAAUCAGAGAGUGGUGCAUGAGUCUGAGAAUCUUAUGGAUUCGAUUGAAGAAACAGGGUUGAAGUUUCCCUUGAUAGCGAAACCGGUAACGGCCGACGGCAGUGCCACGUCGCACGAGAUGUCCUUGGUGUUCAACGAGAACGGGUUGAAGAUGCUGAAAACACCAAUUGUGAUGCAAGAAUUUGUAAACCACGGUGGAGUGAUUUUCAAGGUGUAUGUGGUGGGAGAACACGUUAAAUGCGUGAAGAGGAGAUCAUUGCUGGAUAUAUCUGAAGAAAAACUGAAUAGUACGGCGGCGGAUGAGGGUUUGUUGUCGUUUUCACAGAUAUCGAAUUUGGUCGCGAAAAAUGAGUUUGGGGGAUGUUCUGAGCUGGAGAAGGCUGUUAUUGCGAGAAAUAAAGGGAAGGGAUUUUGUUGCUCUGAAGUGGAUGAGCUCGUGGAGAAGGCGGAAAUGCCACCUUUGGAGUUUGUGAUGGGGUUAGCCCAUGGGUUGAGGGAGGCACUGGUGCUGAGGCUUUUUAACUUUGAUUUGAUUAGGGAUAGUCGAGAUGGGAAUAGGUACUUUGUUAUUGAUAUCAAUUACUUUCCUGGGUAUGCUAAAAUGCCUGACUAUGAGUCGGUUUUGGUGGACUUUUUUUGUGAUCUUGUGGAAGAGAAGAGGAGGAAGGUGGAAUUGGAUGUGAAGGAGAAUCAAGAGGUGAGAUGUGGUGAGAUUGAAGAGAAAAAUCACUUGUGUGAAUAAUGCUGUGUGUGUGUGUGUGUGUGUGUGAAUAAGCAAGAUAACGCUGUUGGGUUAAUAUGGUUUACUCAGCUGUAUGGAUCAAGUCAUUCAGCUCAAGUCCUAAUGCUCGAGUGCCUUUUUGUCUUUUUGUGUGAAUUCCAUAUAUUGUUUUGAUUUCGCUAGAAGGAGGUACCUUUCAAAUAGUUGAAGGCUUGAAGCCCGAAUUCAAUCCACCUUUCGGUUACUUGAAGUGCUAAUUUAAGGGAAAUGUUUUGCCAAGUAUGUUCAGGGCAUUGUUUCUUGUGGUACGUUUUACUGGCCGCUGCACAGAUGAGACCCCUUCUGUUCUAAUCUUAUGUUAAGUAAUUGUGAAGGAAGUUUUUGUUAGUGACUGUCCUCUGUCCAAUGCUAGACUCUGAUCUUCAUACUGACUGUGGACUAGCAUUACAUUAUUGUGAGUUUGUUACCUCCCCCCUUUUUUUUUUCCUGAUAAUUAUUUAAGUUAUUGGAAAAAUAAGGUGCUGGUGUCAGGGUUUGGUCAUUCUAGUAGCAUCUUACUGUUAAAAUAAAUGGGAAGGGGGUGGGGAGGUUAGUUCAGUAUUUUGCCAAUCUUAUAUUUGAUUUCUGAUUUUGGGUGCUCCCAGCACCAUGGUGUUCUAUGGAGUUGCAGUGAUUCCAUUGUGAUUUGAUGACAUGUAAUCCAUUUCCAAACAUUAGACAUGAUAAAUGACUUCAUUUUUUUUUUUUUUUUUUUGGGUCAUUUUUUGGCACUCCUGAUUGUAUCUUAAGCUUCCCUCUUCAGUAAUGUGUGGCAUGCACCUUCAUGAACAAAUUUUUAUGGAUUCUGCUAUUUCAAAAUCAAUUGGAGAUCUUUGCAAA